UUCAAUCUACUUCAAGCCUUGGGAGACUUUUGAGCGGGCAGAACUGCAGGAAUUCUUCAGUUUGAAGGGACAGAAGUGGCUAUUCUCGAGGAUUUAGCAAGCUGGAACUAUGCUGUAAAAUUUGUUGAGGUUUUCAUAUUGGUGAAAACUCAGACUAUGUUUGUCUUGGCUUUUGCUGAACCAAAUUUGUAACGAGAAGGAUCUCGUUUUCAGAAGACUUAUUUUCUAAGUCUGAACUUUGGGAUUCUGAUCUAAAGCUGUUUUUUUCUCUUGGGAUCCAAGUGAACUUUUUCUUAUUUGUUUUUUUUUUGAUUGAUUGAUGAAUUGAAUGUCCUUUGUUUCUUUGCCUUCUUUCGCUUUUAUAAGAGAUCCUCCUAAGGAGGUCAUUUUUAAUCUUUUAAAUAAUGGGCGGCAAAAAGAUCUCUUAUAAUGUAAAGUAAGAAGGGUUUUUUAGAUAGGUUCUGAGCAGUCACCUCCUAAAACCAGUCCCUUCCCUGGUUUUCUGGGUGGCAGCUUUCUAAUUCAACCAACGCCACCGUCUGUGUGGGCUUUUUAUGGCGGUUUUGGCUCUUUUUCUUUUGUAUUUUCUGAGUGGUUCCCUGUUUCCCGUUCUAAUUUAGAAAGCGUGAUCCGUGAAUUUCUUGGGAGAUGGUGUAUUGAUUUGGAGCAAAAUCUUGAACACAGAUGGGUUUUUGAUCUUCAAUUGGCAGUGUUUCAGAGACGUCCCUCUCACAUUUUUAAAUUUUAGUUGAAAAUGCUGACUUUUCCAAAGCUGAGGCAAUCACGUGGGUGUGUCUUUGAUCCCUUGGUUUUGAAUCUAUCGAAAAUUACGGGCUGAUCUUUUGAAGUCCAUUUCGAAAGUUUCCACAUCUGGGCUUUCUUUGGGCUGAGGCUUUAUUUCCAACGUUCUUGGUGUGAAGCCCAAACUGUUUGGAUCUUAAUUUUUGUUUUUCUCAAGUCUCUGGGCUGGGCAGGCAAUUUUAUCAUGGGCCUGCCUUCUGGUCUUGGGCGUGCCGAAUUUGGGCCCAAACAAUAAUCUAUUAAAAAAAUAAUUGAAAAUGCAAGAAAAUAUAAAUAAAUUGAAAAUGCAAAAAAAAAACAAAAAAAAAAAUAUGCAAGGAAAAAAAAAAGGUGACAUUAAAUUGAAUAAAACGGCAUUUAUAAAUAUUUUACCUCGUCUGCAAGAUUUUGAUCGCUUCGAAUGUUGUCACUCGCUUUUCCCAACGCAU
rnacentral:lncRNA from 1 species